AUUGAACGCUGGCGGCAGGCCUAACACAUGCAAGUCGAGCGAGCGGCGGACGGGUGAGUAAUGUAUGGGGACUGCCCGAUAGAGGGGGGUAACUACUGGAAACGGUAGCUAAUACCGCAUACUAUCGGAUAACCCAUAUGGGAUUGGCUAGUGGGUGAGGUAAUGGCUCACCUAGGCGACGAGCCCUAGCUGGUCUGCGAGGAUGAUCAGCCACAUUGGGACUGAGAAAGGGCCAAGACGCCUACGGAGGCAGCAGUGGGGAAUAUUGCACAAUGGGCGCAAGCCUGAUGCAGACAGGCCGCGGGUAUGAAGAAGGCCCUAGGGUGGUAAAGUACGUUCAGUGGGGAGGCGUUACCGACAGAAGAAGCACCGGCUAACUCCGUGCCAGCAGCCGCGGUAAUUC
rnacentral:rRNA from 1 species